rnacentral:rRNA from 1 species
GACAGAGGGUGCAAACGUUGUUCGGAAUUACUGGGCGUAAAGCGCGUAUAGGCGGUGCGGUAAGUCGGGUGUGAAAGCCCUGGGCUCAACCCAGGAAGUGCAUUCGAUACUACCGUACUAGAGUCCCGGAGAGGUUGGUGGAACUCUCGGUGUAGAGGUGAAAUUCGUAGAUAUCGAGAGGAACACCAGUGGCGAAGGCGAGUCCCUGGACGACUCCUGACACUGAGGCACGAAAGCUAGGGGAGCAAACAGG